rnacentral:misc_RNA from 1 species
UCUCCGUAGGUGAACCUGCGGAGGGAUCAUUACAGAGUUCUCGCCCUCGCGGGUAGAUCUCCCACCCACUGUUAUCGUUACUGUGUUGCUUUGGCGGGCCGCCGGGCCCCGCUCGGCCGCCGGCUCCGGCUGGCGCGCGCCCGCGAGAGGCCCAGCAAACUCUGAAUGUUAGUGUCGUCUGAGUACUAUAUAAUAGUUAAAACUUUCAACAACGGAUCUCUUGGUUCUG